rnacentral:rRNA from 1 species
UACGUAGGUCCCGAGCGUUAUCCGGAUUUAUUGGGUUUAAAGGGUGCGUAGGCGGGAUGCCAAGUCAGCGGUAAAAAUGCGGUGCUCAACGCCGUCGAGCCGUUGAAACUGGCGUUCUUGAGUGGGCGAGAAGUAUGCGGAAUGCGUGGUGUAGCGGUGAAAUGCAUAGAUAUCACGCAGAACUCCGAUUGCGAAGGCAGCAUACCGGCGCCCUACUGACGCUGAGGCACGAAAGCGUGGGUAUCGAACAGG